GUGCCAGCCGCCGCGGUAAUACAGAGGGUGCAAGCGUUAUUCGGAAUUACUGGGCGUAAAGCGCGCGUAGGCGGACUGUUAAGUCGGUUGUGAAAGCCCUGGGCUCAACCUAGGAAUUGCAUCCGAUACUGGCAGUCUAGAGUUUAAGAGAGGCAAGGGGAAUUCCAGGUGUAGCAGUGAAAUGCGUAGAUAUCUGGAGGAACAUCAGUGGCGAAGGCGCCUUGCUGGCUUAAAACUGACGCUGAGGUGCGAAAGCGUGGGUAGCGAACGGGAUUAGAUACCCGGGUAGUCC
rnacentral:rRNA from 1 species